UAUCAACGCAAGUACAUGUGGUAAAUUGUGCAUGUCUUUGUGUAGGUGAAAGGUAGAACCCCACCCCCCUCAAAAAAAAUUAUUUUUCUAUAUUAUGUAGUUUUUACUUUUGGGCUUUAAUCUUCUAAAUUUUAAUUAUAUAAUUAGGCAUUCUGCAUGGCUUAUAUGUGAAUAGUAGAAUAUUACCUUUUAAAAAAACAUGUUCAAUCCAACUAAAA